rnacentral:sRNA from 1 species
AAAUUUAUUAUUUUCGGAACUACGUUCCAAUUUAAAUGGCGCCCACAAUAAAAAAUUCUAUAACUAAUUUCGGAAAAUAUAGAAAAUUCGGCCAAAAUAUCAAAAUAACGAUUAAAAAACUUAACAAAAGUUGUAAAAACGAUACAACCGUUUUCGAGUUUUUCGUUUGUUAUAAAAAAUAAGUUUUAGGAUUUUUAAACGCGAAAAAAAAAAUUGCCGGUGUUGGAAUAAAAGGGAUUGCGUUUAAUUUAUUAAUUUAAUUGGUAAUUUACGUGUGGACCCGCACGUAAUUUAUCCGACCUUCGAUUACGGGUAUAAAAGGAGAAAAACGAUUAAAAAUUCGAACGUAAAUAAAUUAGUCGUUAAAUAAGAAUAUAUUACCUUUUACCCAAUAAUAACGUUUUAUUAAUCGAUCGAUCUACGAAAAACCUAUUAAUAUUAACGUUAAAAUAAGAAAGUAUGUUUAAAUCCCCCAGCCGUGGAAAAAUAAUUGUAUUUAUAUUUUUUACAAAUUGGAAAAUUUCUUUAAAACGUUUGGAAAGGUCGACCACAUUAUUUUUGGCCUCCGUGGCGGUGGCAAUUGGAGCAUUUUCAUUAUUAAUAUUGGACGGUUUUUGCGUUUUUAAAAUUUUUUGGGAUUUAACCGAAACCGGCUCGUCCCCAAUUACGAUUUUUGGCAUAGGAUUGUUUUUGGUCGAAGCGUUAAAUAUUUUUAUAAAAACGUUGGUAAAUAGGCCGUAAUCCAAAAAUGCACAAAGAUUUGUUACAACGAUUUAAUAUCCUACUUUUAACCAGCAGCGUGCACCUUUGGCCACAAUUAGGUCGAAAUUCGAAAAAAAUUUAUUGCGCGCAUUUUCGAGAUCUUCGGUGUUUUUACCGGUAAAAAAAAUCCCGUAACACCUAACCAACGCACGAUUAACGGCGUGCAAUUUACCGUACAUACCAACCAUAAUAGGUUCGAAAAGGGUAAAAAUUAAGUCCCUGGCGUUAUUAAAGGGAAUGGGCAUAUAUAAACUUUUGGCGUAAUAAAAAAACUAUGCUAUAAUAUUAGAUUUCGCCAAAAUUGCUAAAUAGUAAUAUAAGCGUCCAAUAGUGGGAAUUUUAUCGUUAAUUCGCGAAUACCAAUUACGAAAAACAAUUGUCCAAACUUCCCUAUCGCGAAUAUUAUCGUCCUCGAUGGCCAUUUUAAAUUUACGCAAUACCAAUUAGGCGGGCAAUUUUUCAAAAAAACAAAAUAUAAAAAAGGGCGUAUUUACUUAUAUCGUAAAAAGUUUCCCAAACAUUUUAUCCAAAUAUAUUUAAAAAUUGGUACAAUUUUAUAUAAAAAUACCAUUAUAAAAUACGAAAAAUAAAUAAAUGUAAAUAUAUAUUUAAAUAAAUAUGGUAAACGGUGCUUUAAAAAUUCCAAAUUUCAAAUAAAACAAAAAAUUAAUUUCGCCUGCCUCGUAUAAAAAAAAAAAAUAAAAAAAAAAACCGUAACGAAAUUUUUAUGGAAUUUUACAAAUUAUGGAUGCCGUAUUGCUAUAUGCGCGCCGGUAUUGCAUAUUUAACGGCAAAUCGUCGCAACGCUCGGCUUGCCGAAAAAUGCUGCGAAGCGAAAAAAAAGUCGUGGUGCUCGUAUAAUAACGUCCGGUGCAAAAUAAUAAAAAUUUACCAUUGGUCGGUAUUAAAUUUGGGGAAAACCGAACCGUUAUUUAGUAAAUUUUGUAUAUUAUCGACUUUUAUAUAUUUAUUUUCGAUUAUAACAAAAUUAAAUUAUAACAAAAUUAGUCCGAAAUAAAUUUGCCAAUUUCCUUUUAUAAUUAACUUAAAUAUACGCAAUAGGCCCUUUCGCCAUACAGGUGGAAAACCGCCCGUAUAUUAUAUUUGGUCCCCGCCGGCCGAAAUUUACCUAAUAUAUAUACCUUUGAUUUUAAUUAUUAACUGUUUCUAACUUAUAUAAUAUAUUUUUGGUUGUUUUACCAAUUCGUUAAUUUUGUGGAUUUUACCGGUCGCGUUAUUAACCCCGCCCCCACCUUUUAAACCCGAAACGCGCCGGUUUUGUUGGCCCGAUGGCCCAAUACGCGCAUUAUUUAUUAUUCCGCGUAAUUAAAUGGUGGGGGUUCCCACCACCGUUUGUAAAUUUAUUAUUUCCAGGGUUUUAUCCUACCAACGUGAUUUGCGCGCCCGGGGUAUAGGUUCGAAACCGUUAUUGGGAUUUGUAACCGGUCCUUUUAUUAUUUUUUAAUAUGCGGUUGCUAUUAUUAUUUGGGCAAUUAAAAGGGUACUUUUGGAAUUUAACGACGCGUUUUUCGCAUUGGUUAACAAAAUUGGUUUUUGUAAAAAAAACCAUUUUUGCCUUUUAAUUUUCGGUUUGUUUAAACCAGCGUGGGGGUCCGCGUUUGGGGUAAACGAAUUUUUUAAUUUUAAUAUUCCAAUUCCCCGCUUAAAAAAUCCAACCUGUUGGGGAAAAUAUUAAUUGGAUAUCCGUUUAAUACCAGCCGGUUGCGGGCGUUAAUUAAAUUAAUUAUUCGGUAUAUUUCCUUACUCCAAUGUUUUGGGGAAAAAAAAUCAAAUAAAAUGUAAUUUACGGUUUGCGUUAUUAAAAUUAAAAACGCAAAUAAACGAUAAUAAUAGUUGGAUUUUAUAUAUUAAUUAUUUACCGCAUAAUUUUGCCUUUGGUUUUCCAAAAACUAGUCGGUUACCUUUUUUUUGCGAAUUGCACGGGCGAACGAAUAAAUUGCGGUUUAAAUAUAUGCAAUUUUCGGGCAAACCGAGCCGAUAAAAUAAUUUAUACCGUAAAAUAAUUUUAAUUUAUUUAUUGUAAUUAGCGGGCGGUUUAACGUUAUUUAGCAAAUAUAACGCGUUUUAGGUUUUCUUUUACCUAGUUUUUGUAAAAUUGCAAAUAAAUCCUGGUAUAAUUCGAAAAUAAAUGGAAACAGCCGCCGGUUUUAAAAACAAAUUAUAACAGUUGGGUGCCGAAUUAUUUUUGCAAUUAAAUAAUAUAUUUAAAAAUAAUAUAGGUAACUAUUUCCGGAAGGCUGAUUUGCAUCCAUUAUUAAAUACCUUAUUGCAACUUUUUAUUACAUUCCAAAUGGGAACAAACAAUAAAAAUUAAAUUAAUUUGUCCAUUUCCAAAUCUGGCCGGGCCAAAAGGCUGUUAUAUUUCCAAAUUUAUUAUACCGGUUUUUAGCGAUAGGUAGGUUAAUUAAACCAUUAAAGUAACAGGUAUUAAUAUUUAUUUACCCCUAUAUACGGAAUACCAUCCGGUUUUCCGCCAAAUUAUACCUUAUCCAAUACCAAUCGGCAGCGGCAAUAUUUACUAUUUCGGUCAUUUUAUAUAAAAAUCGGGCGCACGCUAUUUAAAAUUACAAUCGGCCUCGAAACAGGCCUAUUUGAUUUUUAUCGAAGCGAUUGGUCGACCACGAUUAAAAAAAAAGUAUAUUUAUUAACCGGUGCGAAGUUAUAAUAUAACGUAUUAAAAUUUUAUUUUGAAAUCCCUACGGAUUAUCGAUAUUAUUAUUAAUAUAAUUGAAAAAUUAGGGGUAAAUUUAAUGUUGAUUUUUUUGCAAAAAUCUUUUAACGGGCUCGUUCCUACUGGCCUUCACCUCCACGGAGCAUCCCGGCGUUUAAUUUGGAUAUAUUUUUUUCGAUUUGCAUUUGGCAAAAUUUUUCGCCCUUUUUGUUUUGCGAAUGCGGUAUAAAUUGACAAAAAAAAAUUAUAUAAUAUUUUAGGGGUAUUUUUUUGGCAUUUUUUUGCACUAAAUAAAUGGGCGAAAAAAAUUACUUUGGUAUUGCGUUAUAAAAUUUUAAUAAAUUUUAACGCGAUUUAUACCCCAACGCCGUAAUACCUUUUACAGGAAUUUAACCUUUGCACAACCGCGUUGGCGAACCAUAAUAAAUAAAAAUAACCACCAACGAUUUAACCUGGCCUGAGCGGUUUCAAAACCCGGUUUUGAUUUUCGCGGCUAAUUGGUCCCAAAAAAAUCCCAGGGAAAGGCCGAACGUAUUCCGGAAUAUUUGCCCUCGGCCUCCCCGAAAUUACGUUGCCGUUUCUGGUUUUUUUUCAGGUAAAAAAUACGAGCCAAAAAUGAAAUUUCUUUUUUUAAUUAUUAAAUAAUAUUUCGGUAUUAGGUUCCUACGACGUAAAAUCAAUAUUUUCCACAUACCCAAUAAAUUAUUAAACACCAAAAAGCAAAAUUAUAAUAAUAUGUUUUUAUAAUUAAAUAUUAUAUUUAUCGGUGCGUUACAAUUUAGUACAAAUUUUAAAAUUCCCCAAAAUAAGUCCUACCUUUCCACAAAUUCGGCCAUGGAUAACUUUGUGCCCUCGGAUGGUAUUAAUAUCCAGAUAAAUUAACGGUUUUCGUUACAUUCGUAAAAACUUUUAUCCAAAUUAAUUUUUCGCUGCACCUAAUUGUAAUUUGUUUUUUUCGUUUUAUGGGCGUUAUAAAUGGACCAUUUCCGCCUUUUUACUUUUAAUCGCAAACAAGGUAUAAAAAUUUAAAUGUUUUUUUUCCAAACGUUUUUAUCGCAAAUAAACUCCAAACGGUGCUAAGGAAAAAUUUCGGUAUUAUAAUAAUAUGCGAAUAAUUGAAAAUAUUAUGGAAAUUAU